UACGGAGGGUGCGGGCGUUGUCCGGAAUCACUGGGCGUAAAGGGCGCGUAGGCGGCCUGAUAAGUAGGGGGUGAAAUCUUGCGGCUUAACCGCAAGGCUGCCUUCUAAACUGUCAGGCUAGAGCACAGUAGAGGCAGGUGGAAUUCCCGGUGUAGCGGUGGAAUGCGUAGAGAUCGGGAGGAACACCAGUGGCGAAGGCGGCUUUCUGGUCUGCUCUUGACGCUGAGGCGCGAAAGCUAGGGUAGCAAACGGG
rnacentral:rRNA from 1 species